rnacentral:lncRNA from 1 species
AGAUUGCCUCAAGUUCGAUCGAUCAUCUUGACGGCAAACAGUACAGAAAGACCUCAGCACAGAUUUGAAGAGACGCUCGCCUAGCAGUCGAAGCAAAACAAGAAGACGGGAAUGCAAAGGACAAAUGAAGACCACCAUUAGCUAACCCACAGCAUUCAUCGUCACAUUUCGUAUGUACCAUGUUUGGAAGAGACAGUGAACCAUGCAAGGCUGCAUAGUUCAGUGACAGAUCUAAACAGUGACGGAACGCUCGAAAGCAGAUACACCCAUCAGCAGAUUUUGCUCAGUCAGCCUAUUGUAAAUGAGUGCCAAGACCUGUCAAGCAACAACACGACGCCGUACCAUCCAGAGAUCAUAACCAAUACGUCACACCAUCGUUUCCAAGACUGAAGGAUGCCUACAUACACCAACCAAUGAAAUGGGCGUGAAAGAUGCUGUACAUUACAGAAGGUAUAUUUUCUCGUGAUUCUCGUUGGUCGUAUUCGAAAGUACUUGGGGGACCACCCUGAGGACGCCCAAAUGCACAAAACAAAUUUAAAAGUGGCUUCUUUUUCUUAAUUUCGCAAUUUAUUCAAAUUUUUCAUAUUUCUUGGUAUUUGCGAAAAGCUCUUAACGAAGUCGAAAUGUUUGAAAUUCGGAAGGUUCUAUCUGGGAGUUUGUUUAUUUGAAAGAUAUUUGAAAUGAAAUUUUGAAAUUUACAUCACUUUGGUAUUUGGUUUAAACGCUAGGUAAAAUCAUGCCAGAUGAGUGGCCGACCAUUCGUCGGGGUUCGGUGGUACUUCGGCUCGGACUUCCCCGACCUACAGUCGAGUUGCUCUGAUCGAUUGUCGUGAUCAACUAGCACAGGUGCAAGGUCUGGCCAACCUUACAUCAGUGCUUUUUGUUCGUGGCAUGAGAUUGGGACAGCUCGCUUGUAGGCCUGGAAAGAUCAAGCGGAAGUACCACCAAACUUUGAUUUGUGGCCGACUUUUUGUCUGUAUGGCUUUAUCCAGCGUUUUCCCGUUAUCAUUUUGAUGCAGACUUUCGGAUUUUGGCCUGAAUAUCUUUAAUAUAAACAUUCUUUGAGGUUUAAUCUUUCAAGAAUUUCAUGGUUUUCGACUAGUUAAUGUGUUGCUCGCAGAUAUAUAAUUGUACUAAAAAAAUUUAACCAAUAAAAUUAAAAACUGACCAAAACCUCAUUUGGGGUGUCGGAUGGGAGGUCCAUUGGGAGUCGUAGCGAAUAUCAAUGGAUUAUAUCGACACUGGAUUAUUGGAUUAUUAUGAACAUUGAUGGAUUACAACGAACACUUCUGGAUUAUUGUGAACAUUUGUGGAUAAAAUGUACCUCAUGAUCGACGGUUACCUACCAGUGUACCUUGAUAACGAAAGCUGCGCGACGGCAACGAGAUGACUGCCCCAAGGUUAGAGGGUUUGAUAACAAGCAGUAGUUAGCUUGUUAUCAGACAUUAGUUAAGUGUUAGCCUGCUAUCAGGCAGUAGUUAGCCUGCUAACAGGCAGUAUAUCUGUAGGAUUCAUACCCAGGACUCUAAUUGCAUGUGUUCGGCGAAGUCUCUGGGAUGAACCGGUUUAAAAUUCCUGGCGGUCUGUCGUUAGUUGUACAUUUGCACACAAGGUUGACUUUUAUUCAGAUGCUUGCUAAUAAAAAGUGAGGUACAGUUUUGACCUCAGUUACUUAAUCAGAAUUUCCACAUCAUCUGCAAUCGAAAGUCAAUCUUAAAGAGGUUAACAUUUGAGCUUCCGGUCACGUGGUUCUUUGCAUGCACUCGGUUCGGUUACUGGUGGGUUUCAGUAAGUGUUACAAUCCAGACGAUGGUCAAUAUCAGAAAUGUUGACACUUCUGGAGCAAUUCAAUUGCUUCAAAUACAAGACUACUACAUAUAAAGUAAAAAGGAGUGAACAUUAUAUUUUCACUCCAGUAACUCGUAGUGAGACCCACCAGCUAUUUGCGGUCUGUUCGUGCCAAUGUUGUUCUCUCUGUGUAAAUGUACUGCUUAGGUGUCUGUGCAUGGAUGAACGCAGCGCGCAGCUAGUAUCCAGAAUAUAGGCAGAGAAAUAAAACCUUGCCAGACUUUAAAAUUUUGUUUACAUCGAUAUGUUACGCUCAUAAAUGUAUAGAAAUAUCAUGAAAUGUGUUAGGCUUUGGCUUGGG